rnacentral:rRNA from 1 species
UACAGAGGGGGCAAGCGUUGUUCGGAAUUACUGGGCGUAAAGGGCGCGUAGGCGGCCUUCUAAGUCGAACGUGAAAUCCCUGGGCUCAACCCAGGAACUGCGUCCGAUACUGGAAGGCUUGAAUCCGGGAGAGGGAUGCGGAAUUCCAGGUGUAGCGGUGAAAUGCGUAGAUAUCUGGAGGAACACCGGUGGCGAAGGCGGCAUCCUGGACCGGUAUUGACGCUGAGGCGCGAAAGCCAGGGAAGCAAACGGG